rnacentral:tRNA from 1 species
ACCUUCGUGGUGUAACAGUAAAACACUCGGUGCGUAAUCAAGAGGUCCAGGUUCAAAUCCCGGCGAGGGCA